AAUCAACGCUGGCGGCGUGCCUAACACAUGCAAGCCGAACGCGAAAAGGGGGCAACCCUGAGUAGAGUGGCGUCCGGGUGAGUAACACGUGGAUAAUCUGCCUGAGGGCGGGGGAAUAACUUUCCGAAAGGGGAGGCUAAUACCGCAUAACACCGUAAUAGGGCAUCCUGAUACGGUCAAAGAGGGGGAGUCGCAAGACCUCUCGCCUGCAGAGGAGUCCGCGGCCGAUUAGCUAGUUGGCGAGGUAACGGCUCACCAAGGCAGCGAUCGGUAGCCGGCCUGAGAGGGCGAACGGCCACACUGGCACUGAAUACGGGCCAGACUCCUACGGGAGGCAGCAGUGGGGAAUUUUGGGUCAAUGGCCGAAAGGCUGACCCAGCAACGCCGCGUGAAGGAUGAAAUCUUUCGGGAUGUAAACUUCGCAAGUCAAGGAAGAAUAAGCUUGUACGAAUAAUGCAAGCGAUGACGGUACUUGACGUAAGCCCCGGCUAACUCCGUGCCAGCCGCCG
rnacentral:rRNA from 1 species